rnacentral:rRNA from 1 species
UACGGGGGGGGCAAGCGUUGUUCGGAAUUACUGGGCGUAAAGGGCUCGUAGGCGGCCAACUAAGUCAGACGUGAAAUCCCCAGGCUCAACCUGGGAACUGCGUCUGAUACUGGAUGGCUUGAAUUCGGGAGAGGGAUGCAGAAUUCCAGGUGUAGCGGUGAAAUUCGUAGAUAUCGGGAGGAACACCGGUGGCGAAGGCGACCAUCUGGACGGAUACUGACGCUGAGACGCGAAAGCGUGGGUAGCAAACAGG